UAUGAUGCUUUACUUGAUGAACACAUGGAACUUUCUAUUGUAAUUUCCUGGGAUCAUUCAGAAUGAUUUGAUAGCUUCCAUCGCAUCAUCCGUUAAAAGUUAGAUUAGAGACAGAGGUUGACGCAGCGUAUUUUCAGCGCAUUUUCUUCGCGCACUCAUGUAGGCUUUCCACUUUCCUCCGGUAUUUAUUUAGCAAAGAUGAUAACACAUAAUCACUCCGGACAGACAAAAGCAAAAACACAUCAAAUAAAUGUUGCAGCAGCCUAGGCUACACCUAAACAUUUGAGAUUUGACUUGCUGAAUGGGAUGAAAACGAGGCAAUUUUUCAGUCAGAUCAACUGUAGGCUACUAUUAAGAACAGAUGCAUACAGCCUAUGUGUGCUGUGCAGGGUAACUAAUUGGUAACAUUAUGUAUUUAAAGUCCAUUUGUGUGUCAGGAGAAAAUGUGAAUGUGAUCAUAUUUGGUUUAUAUUCAAAAUUGGGCUGGCUAGGCAGCCUAUACAUUUUCAAUCCACAAUUAUUAACUGGAUUCAAUCAAUCAACAUAAUAGUGAUGACAGAUGUAAGUGCAUUUUUAUAAGGCAUGCAGUUGCAUAGGCCUGCAUGAUCCAAACAUGCAUAAAGCAAGCUCAGCCCUGUGAGUUCUAUUGUCUAUCAGCUGUUGUCCCUGUAUCUGGGUAAAGGAAAUCCCCUCCUAAUCUAGUCUAAAUAUAACUCAUAUGAACAAGUAUAAGGUUUCUGCAGUUUGACAGAGUUUUCACCCCUGUUAACAGAUAAGGAAAAACUCUGUGUCCCAGUGGGUAAAAAUUGCCCCCCAACUCUGGUUGCCACCAGUCUGCUUGCUGUUGUCAGUUAUCGUCAGCUAAGUCCCCUCCUGUUCCGUGAUUAAGAGGUGAUGACUACUCCACUCCACUACCAUUGUCAACUCUCUCCUGACAUGAACGGAAGCCAUGACAUCUCAUGUGCCCGCUCAUCCACUGGCACAUUUCAUGUUUCCUCUCCAAGCACUUCAAAUCCUUUCCUGCACCGAAGUCAAGCCUCUGAACACCUCAACUCAUGCCUCAUACCCUCAUUCAAUCACUGCUGUGAUCCCUUCCCAAAACGGUGUCCGGAUGGUCGGAAGAGAUGGCCAUCUGGCUGUGGCAAAGUGUUCCUCCCGUUUGGGAUGCUCUAAGGAGCAGAUCCACCCCGACUUCAGAAUGCACUACAGAAAGAUGAGAAUGAAGAUUGGAAUACCAGUUCUGACUGAGGUAGAACACAACAUGGCACAAUAAGGAUUUCAUAUUUAAUUCCAACCUAAAUUAGAACAAUUUGACUGUUUGUGGUUUGUGUCUUUGUUCUUUCUUAAUCCAGGUUAGCUUCUUAUCAACGCGCAAACAAAAUCGUAACCGUACAAUAACGAAAUGUAAUAAUUAAGAUUGACCCUUGACCUGUCAACCAACCAGUAAGCCACACUCACCUCCAAUGCUAUCUUACUUCCUGUUUCUUUCCUAUGUUCUCCAAUCAGUAACCAAAACGUUUUUUUUAUGUGGGUUUAUCAAUGUUAUGCAACUUAUUAUCAAGAUUACCAUGUUUUUUGUGUGUUUUUUUACCCUGUUACAGAACAGAAAGUUGUGACACCUCUGUAAACCUACUCAGGCCACUUGUGCCACGUGGCUAUGCUUUGUCGUCACCAUACAGUAUGAAGAAAAUAUACAAAUAUGAAAAUAAGCUGUUUCAAACUGGUUCCUUCCCUCUGUCUAUUUAUAAUUAAACUCUCCCCCAGGACCCUCACACUGCCCUGCCCUAUUUCCAACUAUUUAUUGUUUGUUCUGUCUCGAGAAAUCAGAAUAUUUCCCCUUAAAACGCUGUCUGUGGUCCCUAUGGUGAGAGUGCACCUCAUUCAAGUGGUGGAUCAUGGGAUCUGACUUUCUCUCUUCCAUGUACGGCCCUGUCUGAGUCUGAAGAAGCCAUCUGCUGCUGGCUCUAUCAGUCUCACACACACGCACACGCGCACACACACGUGCAC